CAACUAACACUGGUGCAGUUCUGGACAGGCUUCUGCAUCACUUCCAGUGAGCAGUUCUCCAGACAACCAACCGUUCCCUAGCUGCCUGAAUAAUUUUAGGACCAGGACUCCUGAAGGAAGGGCAUGAAGCUGUGUCAAGGAAGGUUUAGACUGGAUAUUAGAAAAAGUGUCUUCACCCAGAGGAUGUCUGGGUACUGGAACAGGCUCUUCAGAGAAGUGGUCAUGGCACCAGCCUGUCUGAGUUCAAGAAGCAUUUGGACAGCACUCUCAGGCACAUGAUUUCCAAUAUGCUGAUAACAGAAUUUCUGAUUUGCUGCACCUGAGCACUACUGCCUCCAGCUCCAAUAUGAUACAUAAUAAAAAGGGCUUUGUUUGCUGCAGAAAAAAUACAACCACUAUUUUAGAUAUCAUAAUCCUACAAAUAUCCAUUUGAACCUUUCAGCAUAGAUCCAUUACAAAUUAAAAUGCACCACAGCUCAUUCUAUUGUUCAUUUCCAAACAAAACUUAAUUUUAUAAAUUUAUUUUUAUUUAUAUUUUUCUACAUUUCUGUUGUAACAACUAUAGCAUCAAUUGCCACUGCAGUUCAAAAAAAAAGUAAAAUAACAAUUCAUGAUCAAGAUAUACAAAAAUAGCAAGUAGUAAAAUUUGAAAUUAAGUAUGCUAGUGUUGUUAAAAGCAUAUAAUAUGCCAUGUUCAAACUAAAUUUUCUGGGGAAACAAUGUGAAAGGAGACAAAUUCCCAAACCUCUCCUUUUUUUAUGUGAAAUAGAAUUAUCAGUUCUCCAGCCUUCAUGGGAAGGCUGGCCACCUUCAAGUCUCUCCACAGGGAAAAAGAGAGAUACAUGUACCAUCCAGGAAAGCAGAAAACACAGCUGUCCUUCGUCUUUUUAAUACAAUGUUCAGGAAAUAAAGAUAACCAUAAAUACCUGAUUAAGUACUCCAAGCCUAUAAGUUUUAAGAUUUCUACCAUUUAAAACAACUAAUAUUUUUGCAAGCCUCAUGCAAAUAACUGGUAAGAGGAACGUUCAGUAGCUGUUUCUGAAAAAGCAUUCCUGGCUACCUGGAGGUCAGUGUGCAUUUUUUUAAUCCAGAAUCAGUUAAACAUGGCAUGAAGGCUACGGAGAACAAAGAGUGAUCUUGGCCAAAAGGCUGGAAGAUGAUUGAGUCAAUUUGCAGUCACUGAAUUUUUUUUCAAAGAAAGACCCCAGGCUUAAGAAGCUGCUCUUGGUGGCAAAUUGGAUUGCUAAAAUAUUUGAGCACCUAGUGAACAUCAACAAUUUCAUUAACAACAUUUGAAUAGUACAACUCAUCCAUUCUCAAAAAACACUGCACAUUUUUGUAGACAAUUCUGAAAUGAGAUUUCUUGGCUUCAGUCUCAUCCAAAUAAUGGGACAAAAAUAAAAUUUAAAAAAAGCAAAACCAAACAACAGCAAAAAAACCAAAACCACCAAAACACACCCCACACACACCACCCACCACCCCCCUCCCACAAAAAAACCCAAAGCCAACCAAACAAAAAACAACAACAAGCACCAAAAAACACAAACAAAAAACAACCAACAAGCCAAUUAAUCCAAAUACUUCAGCAACUUAGGUAAACACUGGGCUAGUACCAGUGUGUCAGAAGGUCACUGUAAAACAACUUUGCCCAGUAUAUAACACUAGUCUGAGAGUUCUCAGAUCUCCACAUCUAGGAGAAUAGGAAGAACUACAGAUAAGCUGGAUGAAGCUGCUGGCUAACCUUUAUCCUGUGGGAAAGCACCACACUCAAUACUGCUUAAGAGAGCUACACUCUGCUCAAUAGAAACAAAACAUGUUUAAAAAUUAUUAAGCAGAAGAAAGAGGGGAGAGGGGUGGAGUGGGGGGAGAGGAAGGGGAUGGAGAGAAGGAGAAAAAUAAAGACGUGCCUUCAAGCACCAAGCUGUCCUACAUAAUAAA